rnacentral:lncRNA from 9 species
CUCCAUGUGCUCAUUCCCGUGGUUUAUAUUCAGCGUCUGAUGAUAGCUAACCAUUUUUGUGAAGCCUGGAGCAUAAUAGGUAUUAAGAGCUCAAGUCUUCUGAUGCAUCUGCUAUUUGUUUUCCCUCCCCACUAAUUAGCGGGUCUCCAUUCUCCUUUGUCUUGCUCCUAAUGUAUUGGUGAAAUAUUGUCUGGCUGCCCUUUGUUUCUCUUGCUGGUUGCAUCUCCUAUUGUUGCGCUCCUGCUUCCCGGCCGUCGUUCCCAUGUUACACACGCCCUGUUCUCUUAGCCUUGCCUUUAGCGCAGUGCCCUCAUUUUCCCUCUGCGUGUCAUUUCAUCCUGGCAGCUUAAAACCCAGUGUGGGCUUUGCUUUCCCUAGAAUCAUUGGCUGGGUGAAUGCUUCAGGACAGAUUCCUAAGCACUGGAGAAUAGGAAUAUUUGGCUUUGUGGUCUCUAGCGCCUAACACAAAAUCUAAACCAUUCCAGUAUGUUCUGGAAAGCUGACCUACCCGGACCCAGCAGCCUGGACUUCUUGCCACGGUGUGACGUCAUGGUCUGGGCAUUCUAUGAUGUUCAGUGGAAGCCUGUGUUGAGUUCAGUGGAUGUUGGACAAGGCGUCAGGCCCAGAAGUCUCGUACCAGGAAGGCCAAAAAGGAGUCAGCUGGCUAAGGUGUGGGCUCCAGGCUCAGACAGCCUGUGCUUAAGCUGGUUCCCCUUCUUCCUCCUCCCACCAGUUACUUUCUUCUCCGCCUGGAUGCUUGGAUCCAAGUGCCAUUGUCCGCAAGCUGCACCACGCUUCAGCUGCUGGAUUAAGGAUGCUCCCAAUAACACUUGCCUAUGACCAGGGAUGGUGAGGCUUGAAUGCAAUCUCUCACAGUGGCAAUUCUCAAUCACGGUCAGAUAUUAUGCUACUGGUCCUUGUUUCACGGGAAAACACGACUUUGGCCACACCUUAAUUCACGAAUGCAUCUGUGCAUUCCCCCCCGGGAGUUCUAGCAGUCAGCGACGAGCCAGGGUGAUGUUAAGAGCAAGGUUCUCUCCAAGAGUGGAAACGUGGCCAGGGUGGCAGACACCUGGAGAGGCUCCAUGCAAAACGCAGGCUUCCCAGCCUGGGCUUAUUCCAUCUUGGUGAAUGAAGAGUCUCGUCCAGGCGAGAGGCUUCUGAGAGGGGUAUGGUGUAGCGGAACGAAUGGUUCAUCCGGGACCCGGAGGAGACUGUCCCCUGCCCAAUUUCAGAGGGGUCAAGGGAGAAAACCAUGUUCGGCAAAGGUGAGUUUCUCUCUCCCUUCUCUCUCUCUAACGCUGCCAAAUAUUUAUUUUCUGCCAUCUUCUCUCCCCAGAUCUACGGACGUAAUUUACACAGGACCCCCGAGGGUAAUUAAGCCAGCAAUUCCCUUGCCAGUGAAAUGAGACAAGCCAGCUCUCAGGAAAUUCUGAAUUCUACUACGGACACUGCAGAAACCGAACUAAAAACAGCUGCAGUUUAUCUGUGCAGCCGAAUUGACUAUAAUAUGCUGCUACCCGCACACUUAGCACAUAGCAAUCAGUGUACAGAAGCACAGAAUUUUAAGAUGAUGAAUGUUUUAUUUCUUAAAAUAAACAGUAGCAAUUUAGAAACAUAUUUACGUCUUUUACUUUCUUUCUUUUUUUUUUUUUUUUUUUUUACAUAGUAAAAGUAUAGUGGAAACUUCCUUGGUGUCAAAAUCCUUACAUGCACUUGUCAAAAAUAUCAAGAUGACAAGCUAAUAUGGAAUUCAGGUUUAAAUAAUAAAGUUCAGAAAUAUUCCAUGAAGUUUCUGAUGGUUUUGUUUGCACUGAAGGAGCAAUGCCUAAUCCUUACUCGUGGCAGGGUGUUUCAAGGGUGUUAGAUUUCACAGUCAUGUGUUUCAAAAGUUUGUCCUAGACCACAAUCUGAGGAUCUUUUUUAAAGUUAAUAUUCUAUCCACCAGGCAAAUUCAGUCUCCGAAUGAGCUUCCUGGGUUGGUGUGACUUUCCCAAGCUAAUGAUCCACCUGCAUGCCCUUCCCAGACUUCUUACCCUCUCCCAUGUUCUCAUCAGAGUUGGUUAUUACGUCUCUUCUCCAACCUAAGCUCCAGGGAUGUUAACGCAUGCUGAUAUUUCAUUUACCACCGAGUAAGAAAGAGCACUACCUGCUAAACGGUACUGGAACAGGGAUUGUUACGAUGUUGC